CCAACAGAGGCUCAACCCUACACUAAAUAAUUUUUUAAAUUUUUUGUUUCUAGUUUCCAUCCUUUUUUUGAAGAACUUAAAGCUGUUCCAGAAAAAUGUAUGCAAGGCAGUUGAAAAGAAGCAUCCUAAACUAUUGAAAAGAGACCUAAAAGAAGACAAACAAGAAAAGUCAUGUUAAGAAAGCAUCAAAAUGUGACAGUAUUGGAAUGAAGGAAAUUGAUGGAAGUUGCAUUCCAUGCAAUGAUUCCAGGCUACGUUACGUUAAGGAACAAAAUAACGUUGAAUAAGAAAAAUUUGUGUUGUAUGUGUAUGAGUCCUUGAAACUAAAUUAUGGAAAUUUAAAAUUAA